rnacentral:rRNA from 1 species
GUGGGGAAUUUUGGGCAAUGGGCGAAAGCCUGACCCAGCAACGCCGCGUGCGGGAUGAAGGCCCUCGGGUCGUAAACCGCUGUCAGGAGGAAAGAACAGCCGCACGGAUAAUACUCGUGCGGUCUGACGGUACCUCCAAAGGAAGCACCGGCUAACUCCGUGCCAGCAGCCGCGGUAAUACGGAGGGUGCAAGCGUUGUUCGGAAUUACUGGGCGUAAAGCGCAUGCAGGUGGCUGAGUAAGUCGAAUGUGAAAGCCCCAGGCUCAACCUGGGAACUGCAUCCGAAACUACUCGGCUAGAGUCCCGGAGAGGAAGGCAGAAUUCCCAAUGUAGGGGUGAAAUCCGUAGAUAUUGGGAGGAAUACCGGUGGCGAAGGCGGCCUUCUGGACGGUGACUGACACUCAGAUGCGAAAGCGUGGGGAGCAAACAGGAUUAGAUACCCGAGUAGUCC